CCUACGGGUGUCAGCAGUGGGGAAUAUUGGACAAUGGGCGAAAGCCUGAUCCAGCCAUGCCGCGUGUGUGAAGAAGGCCUUCGGGUUGUAAAGCACUUUCAGUGGGGAAGAAAGCCUUGGGGCUAAUACCCUCGAGGAAGGACAUCACCCACAGAAGAAGCACCGGCUAACUCCGUGCCAGCAGCCGCGGUAAUACGGAGGGUGCGAGCGUUAAUCGGAAUUACUGGGCGUAAAGCGCGCGUAGGCGGUCUGAUAAGCCGGUUGUGAAAGCCCCGGGCUCAACCUGGGAACGGCAUCCGGAACUGUCAGGCUAGAGUGCAGGAGAGGAAGGUAGAAUUCCCGGUGUAGCGGUGAAAUGCGUAGAGAUCGGGAGGAAUACCAGUGGCGAAGGCGGCCUUCUGGACUGACACUGACGCUGAGGUGCGAAAGCGUGGGUAGCAAACAGGAUUAGAUACCCUAGUAGUC
rnacentral:rRNA from 1 species